rnacentral:rRNA from 1 species
AACGAACGCUGGCGGCAUGCCUAACACAUGCAAGUCGAACGAGACCUUCGGGUCUAGUGGCGCACGGGUGCGUAACGCGUGGGAACCUGCCUUUAGGUUCGGAAUAACUCAGAGAAAUUUGAGCUAAUACCGGAUGAUGUCUUCGGACCAAAGAUUUAUCGCCUUUAGAUGGGCCCGCGUUGGAUUAGCUAGUUGGUGGGGUAAAGGCCUACCAAGGCGACGAUCCAUAGCUGGUCUGAGAGGAUGAUCAGCCACACUGGGACUGAGACACGGCCCAGACUCCUACGGGAGGCAGCAGUGGGGAAUAUUGGACAAUGGGCGAAAGCCUGAUCCGGCAAUGCCGCGUGAGUGAUGAAGGCCUUAGGGUUGUAAAGCUCUUUUACCCGAGAUGAUAAUGACAGUAUCGGAGAAUAAGCUCCGGCUAACUCCGUG